AAGACCUUGCGCUUUUGGAGCGGCCGAUGCCUGAUUAGCUUGUCGGUAAGGUAAAAGCUUACCAAGGCUUCGAUCAGUAGCUGGUCUGAGAGGACGACCAGCCACACUGGGACUGAGACACGGCCCAGACUCCUACGGGAGGCAGCAGUGGGGAAUUUUGGACAAUGGGGGCAACCCUGAUCCAGCCAUGCCGCGUGAGUGAAGAAGGCCUUCGGGUUGUAAAGCUCUUUCAGCCGGAACGAAACGGUUACGGUUAAUACCCGUGAUUACUGACGGUACCGGAAGAAGAAGCACCGGCUAACUACGUGCCAGCAGCCGCGGUAAUACGUAGGGUGCGAGCGUUAAUCGGAAUUACUGGGCGUAAAGCGUGCGCAGGUGGUUUUGUAAGUCAGAUGUGAAAGCCCCGGGCUCAACCUGGGAACU
rnacentral:rRNA from 1 species